rnacentral:lncRNA from 1 species
GAUCCAGAAUACAGAAAAUUUUUGGAGAGUUAUGCCACAGACAAUGAGAAAAUGACAUCUACUCCAGAGACAUUGCUGGAAGAAAUUGAAGCCAAAAAUCGAGAAUUAAUAGCUAAAAGGACAACCCCACUUUUGAGCUUCCUGAAGAACAAGCAGAGAAUGAGAGAAGAAAAGAGAGAAGAGAGGAGGAGACGGGAAAUAGAGAGGAAAAGACAAAGAGAAGAAGAGAGAAGAAAAUGGAAAGAAGAGGAGAAACGAAAAAGAAAAGAUAUAGAAAAACUAAAGAAGAUAGAAAGAAUUCCAGAAAGGGAAAAGAUAAGGGAUGAACCAAAGAUUAAGCUGCUCAGGAAACCAGAAAAAGGAGAUGAAAAGGAACUUGAUAAAAGAGACAAAACCAAGAGACUGGACAAAGAAAAUCUGAAUGAAGACAGAGCCAGUGGGCACAGUUAUACUCUGCCCAGGCGUUCUGAUGUCGAACUGAAGGAUGAAAAACCAAAGAGGCCUGAUGACGAGAGUGUCAGAGACUACAGAGAUAGGGACCGGGAUUAUGAAAGAGAUCAGGAGCGCAUGAUCCGAGAAAGAGAGAGGAUGAAGCGGCAGGAAGAAGAGCGCCGGAGGCAGCAGCAGAAGGAGCGCUAUGAGAAAGAGAAGGCUUUUAAGCGAAAGGAAGAAGAAAUGAAGAGAGAGAAAGAAGCACUUCGAGAUAAAGGAAAGAAGAGUGAGAAUACAGAAUCAAUAUGCUCGUUAGAAAAAAUUGAAAAAAAAGAGGAAGUGGUUAAGAGAGAUCGCAUAAGGAACAAGGAUCGUCCAGCAAUGCAGCUUUACCAACCAGGGGCUCGAAGCCGAAGUCGACUCUGUCCCGCCGAUGACAGCAUCAAGCCUGGAGAUUCCCCAGUGGAGAAAAAGCAGGAAAGUGGUAUUAGCCAUAGAAAAGAAGGAGGAGAGGAGUGAGAAGUCCAAAUGGCCAUAGGUGUCCUGACUGUCCAGGCAGCCAGAGUGCACCUGGCUAUGCUGUCCAGAAGUGCCUUCAGGGCAGAGGAACAGAGAACAAGAAAAGGGGUCGCUGUGCUGGUGGGGCACUACAGAGGAGUGUGUCUAAGCAGAAUAAGAUUGCAGGCGCAGAAUCAAAGGACAAUUUCAUUGUUUUCUGCAGUUUCCACAAGUUAAUUUUAAUGUCUCAGAAAAAGAUGGUAGCAAGGAUAUUGCAAGUGAAAAAUGUCAAAUAAGGGCUUAACUUUGUUAUGACAGCUAAAAAGAGCAGGUUCGAAACUCAACAGGUGUCUUAAUCCUGGCUUGGCGCGCCUUAGUUCGAGUGGAGCAGGAGCACACUAAGUCUUGUUGGGAUCUAACUUUUGCAUUGUUGGUGUUGACUCUGUAGUGUAGAAGCAACAAGCAUGUAAUUGUAGCACAAGUAGGAGCAGAAGGUAGAGCAAAUAAUGGCUGAUGGAAAGGAUUUAAAUAGUCUCGUUACAUCUAUAUCCUGUGUCUGAAGUUUGCGUAAUUACAGCUUGUUUUACUUCUGUGAACUUAGCAUCAAAAAUACUUGUAAACAUCUCGUUUUUGCCUUUAGCAUCUUUUCCUGUUAAUAGAUAAAAUGUAGUCCUUGGUUAGUUACUGAUAAUCUAGUCUUUGUUUUACCUUAGGUCUGAUGAUUUGAGUGAAUACCCUCUUCAGGAAGCAAACUACACCAAUAUCUGUUCCUGUCAUGGCAGCUUUCAGUCUUAGCUUGUUUUGUAAUGCUGUCAAUAAAUUUCUACUUCAUUCAAGUGUG